UACGUAGGGUGCGAGCGUUAAUCGGCAUUACUGGGCGUAAAGCGUGCGCAGGCGGUUUUGUAAGCCAGAUGUGAAAGCCCCGGGCUUAACCUGGGAAUGGCAUUUGGGACUGCAAGGCUUGAGUGCGGCAGAGGAGACUGGAAUUCCUGGUGUAGCAGUGAAAUGCGUAGAUAUCAGGAGGAAUACCGAUGGCGAAGGCAGGUCUCUGGGCUGACACUGACGCUCAUGCACGAAAGCGUGGGGAGCAAACAGG
rnacentral:rRNA from 1 species